AGGGAUUUAGCUAAGCAGCCUAAGCUCCUGCCUGGUAAGCAUGAGGUCAUGAGUUCAAUCCCUA
rnacentral:tRNA from 1 species